ACGGGAGGCAGCAGUGGGGAAUAUUGCACAAUGGAGGAAACUCUGAUGCAGCGAUGCCGCGUGGAGGAAGAAGGUUUUCGGAUUGUAAACUCCUGUCGUAAGGGACGAGAAAGGACGGUACCUUACAAGAAAGCUCCGGCUAACUACGUGCCAGCAGCCGCGGUAAUACGUAGGGAGCGAGCGUUGUCCGGAAUGACUGGGUGUAAAGGGAGCGUAGGCGGGACGGCAAGUCAGAUGUGAAAACUACAGGCUCAACCUGUAGACUGCAUUCGAAACUGCUGUUCUUGAGUGAGGUAGAGGUAAGCGGAAUUCCUGGUGUAGCGGUGAAAUGCGUAGAGAUCAGGAGGAACAUCGGUGGCGAAGGCGGCUUACUGGGCCUUUACUGACGCUGAGGCUCGAAAGCGUAGGGAGCAAACAGGAUUAGAUACCCUGGUA
rnacentral:rRNA from 1 species